UCACAUUUCAUAGCCAGUUUUCACUAUUAGCCAGGCUUUGUUAUAACGAAGUACGAACUCGUUUAUACAUCGUUCUCAUUCCGCGUUACUUUCUACGAAUAAUUGGAUCACUCGUCUAUGUAUGUGUAGAAAUAAAUUAACUUCACUGUCUUUAACAAGAUCUUGGCUAGUAUCGAUGGAAGUUCAUAUGAAUAGAGAGUUCCCAGAAUAUACGGCCCUGGCCUUGCACUCUGUCACGCAGGUACUUUUCGACUGAAAGCAAGGACUUCCACUUCGCUGUACCUCCUCCUACUCUUCGAGAUAACGUUCCAGAAGAGCUAACGAGCACAGUUUCGAGCUCGUGCACUCGCUCAAGCCGACAAGUGAGCAUACACAGUAUGAAGUAUACCUGUACGAGCUACAGGCAUCAAAGGAAGAGAAACUCGCUUGCGUCCCUGAGAUACACGGCGAACGUGAGAAAGGUUUCUCCGUACAUCCUGCUUACACUUUGUGAACACAUGAAAUUCCUAUAUCUGCAGCCCUGCAAUUCCACGGAGGUUCUCUCUUAUGGUGUAUGCACUCGCACACCAUCGAACUUUACCUAUCGUCUACCGCAGAAACUGAAUCGAAUGUUCGAAAUCGAAUCGAAUAUUCAAAGAUGCUUCGAAUACCACAUCUUCCAGCUUUCCCUAUCAAUCGAGUCUCUGGCAUUAAGGCGAUUCAUCGUGAAGUUGUUCCCAUGCACGAAGUCCCAUGAAGCGUUUUCGUGAUGGAGAAGCAUCGUUGGCUUCCCUCUUGCAAUCGCUAUCGUAUGAUCCUACCAACGAUCCAGAUCGGUUCAAUCCGCUCAAGAACGUUAACUUAAUCGGAGCUUAUCUCUACGACUCUAGUAAUACGAUUCUCAUUCGAAUCACCCAAGGGAAUGAGACCUCGAACAAUUUUUGUCUCUUUAUAUUUCGAUAUUGUUAUUUAUUUAUAGGAAAGGGAAACGGUAUUCCAUAUAGAAAGUCUUCAACAAAAUAAGUAUCUUUACUAAUCAUGUGUCCAGAAUAAGAAUCAAGAUAAAAGUUCAUCAUGUUCGUCGAUGUAAAUGUGAAAAGUGUAACUUUCGAAUCUUGUAUAAAACAUCAAAUGUGUAUAAAUCAUAUCGUAGAAAUUGUUACUUGUUAAUAUGUUCAUGAUUUUGUAAUAAUGUUUUCUUUUCUUCUAAACGAAUGCGAACAAACUACUUCAGUCAGAUGAUUUUAAUAUUUGAAAAAUAGCCAUACAAAAGACUAUAUAAAAAAAAAAAAAAACUAUAUAUUAUUCACUAUCUAUAAUACAAACGCAAAUACAGCCAUUAUCAAUUGCUAGUCUAACUUCUCGUUAACGUAAUACUAAUAGCUUUAAACGGUAAAAAUAUUUAAAGUAGAAUGAAGUAGGAAGCGAUUUUUACGUAAUUAUAUAAAGAAAACUAUCCUAGAAACAUUUCAAAUGGGGGACUACUUGGGACACAAAAGAUAUUCCUUGUUAAAGUUAAAGAACAUUGAAAAUUACUUGUGUUUCAUUAAAUAUUAUGUACAGUAAUCGUAUUUAGAAACUGUUG